rnacentral:rRNA from 1 species
AUUGAACGCUGGCGGCAUGCUUUACACAUGCAAGUCGAACGGCAGCGCGGUCUUCUUCCUGGCUGCGAGUUGCGAACGGGUGUGUAAUACAUCUGAACGUGCCCAGUAUUGGUUUAUAGCUCGUCUAAAGCCGUAUUAAUACCGCAUACGACCUGAUGGUGAAAGCGGGGGAUCUUCGGACCUCUCGCUCUUUUAGCUGCCGAUGGCAGAUUUGCUAGUUGGUGGGGUAAAGGCCUACCAAGGCGACGAUCUGUAGAUGGUCUGAGAGGACGACAAGCCAAACUGGAAGGGAGACACGGACAAGAGAACUAAGGGAGGGAGCAGAGGGGAAUGUUGGACAAUGGGGGAAAGCAUGAUAAAGCAAGGCGGAGUGUGUGAUGAAGGCCUUGGGGUUGUAAAGAAGGUUUGGCGGGAAAGAAAAGGAGUGUGCGAAUACCAAGGUUGGAUGACGGUAACAGAAGAAUAAGCACCGGCUAACUACGUG